rnacentral:lncRNA from 1 species
CCAUAUCUUAUACAAAACAUAAAAAGAGUGGAAGCGAACUUGGGCUUAUUUCCCACAAAACAAAAGCAGUUGAAGAGAAUUUGGGCCUAUCUAUAGCCCAUGAGUAUAAAAUAAAAGAUAAAAAAAGUGGAGUAUAAAAUAAAAAAUAAAAAAAGUGGGUGUCCAUUUGAGUGGGCCCCUGGGCCAUAUUGGACUCAGAAUGCGGCGGCCCGCAAUCCGUCCACCGUUGAGAGCGGGAGGUGUUCGCAGCUCUGUGAAGCCAGCCUCACGCAAUACCCUCCACUUUAGGGCCCACUUGACCCAAGCCUCCGCCUGGGCCCACAUAGCCCACUACCCAACUUAGCCCGGACGGGCCAGCCCCUCGCACAGCUGCAGCCCAGACCCAACAACACCACCAAACGUCCGAACCCACCCUGUUGCCCCCGCUCGGGUUACAAGCUCCCGCUAAUGAGCUCGGCGAUCGAGGUUCUCCCUGUUGGGUUAAUUAAUGCUCUGAGUGUCUAUUAUGUUUCCGAUGUGGGACAAAAGAGUACGGUAGAUAGGGUCAUUUCCGUCAAAAAGCACUCCUAUCUCGGAGUCUACAAACUAAUGCUUUUUUUUUUUUUUCUUUUUUUUAACAAGAUUGAACUGCACAUUAGGAUCAUUGACUCCUCUCGAGAACGGAAAAAAAUAUAUAUAUAUAUUUAAAUUUUACUUUUGUUAUCUGAUUCUAUAGGUAUGUGAAAUUUAAAACCUUUUUAAGUUCAUCAUCAAGCCGUACAUGCUAUCAUAUUAAUUUAAUAAUCACAAAAUAAAAUAAUAAAAAUAUAUAUAAGGUUAAAUUAGAAAUUCAAAGUGCUUCAAGUAAAUAUGGACAAUUUUUUAGCAAAAGUCCCCGUCAGUAAUUUUCUUUCACCUCUGAAAGAUGAACAUAACUGCAAUGGGUCAAUUAUAAUUCGUUAGCGAUUUGGCUCCCACCUAUAUACACGAAAAUGGUUAAAGGCAUAUAAAAUUAUAUUAGACUCAAUUGAUUUUUUUUUUUUUUUGAAAUAAGUAGCACGCUAUCUGCUUCGUUUAUUUUAUUUAGAAAUAAAUUUAACUGAAAAUAUAAAUUAACUGGGAUUCGAACUUGGAAAUUCGGAUACCAACACCAAGUUUUUUGCCACUUGCUCUAGGAAUGGUCGGUAACUCAAUUUUAUUUCGAUUCAACAUCUGUAACCAUUGAUAUUUUAAAAAAUGCACCAAAUAAGAUCUAUUAAAUCAAAAAAAAGUUCAAAAUGUAGAACACAAUCCAAUCACAAGUCUCUUCCAUGCACCUAUGCAUCCGACCCAUACAUUUUCCUUGUACCAUGAAAAAAAAGGUGAACACAAACGACUGUUGGAAGGGAAACUAAACGAAAUGAAUCACUUCAAACUUAUACAUCUUACAAUGAGGCUGACGCUGAGGCUGAGGAUGCAUCAAUGUGGGGCGGCAGCACUGACGGCGGCGGUAGUUGCAUAGAAAGAAUUGACGACGGUGAUGGACAGCGUACCGACAUGCGUGUUCCAACACGCCGCGUGCCGCUGCACCGUCUCCUGCACCCCGGCCAACGCCACCAAGAAUUCUGCCGCCUGUGCUGGAUCGAGCACCCCCUUUGCUGCCACCUCCACCACCCAAUACCUCAAUUUUCCGGCCUUCCUUACUAUCUUCCCCAUCUUCCUCAUUUCUUCUACCGCCGUCUCCACCACCAUUUCUAUUCCCCUACGCCGUCCUCCUACUGUUAAAUACUAUUAUAAAAUAUUAAAAUAUAGUUCUCUCGUAGGGUAUAUGUAUGGUUCUAAGAGUUAUUGGUUGUUUGUUUUCGCACCUGCUUCGGCGAAAUCUAGCUUGAGUAUGCAGGUGGCCUGGUACUCCGCGACCUUGGCAUCGAGCGCGACCUCGUGGGCGUGGAGGUGGCGUGCGACCUCGGCGAGUGUGCGGAGGGCGCGCUGGGGGAGCACAUAUCGUACAACCGGCGAACUUGAUUUUGGGCCUCAUUUAGGGAGCCUGUAAUAAAAAAAAUAAAAGAUAAAAAAGUGGGUGUCCGUUUGAAUGGGGCGCUGGGUCAUAUUGGACUCAGAAUGCGGCGGCCCGUAAUCCGUCCACCAUUGGAAGCGGGAGGUGUUCGCUGCUCUGUGAAGCCAGCCUCACGCGGUCUCCUCCACUCUAAGGCCGACUUGACCCAAGCCUUCGCCUGAGUCCACAUUGACAACUGCCCAACUUGGACCGGGCGGGCCAGCCCCUCGCACAACUGCAGCCCAGACCCAACAACACCACCAAACGUCCGAACCCACCCUGUUGCCCCCCGCUCGGGUUACAAGCUCCCGCUACUGAGCUCGGCGA